UUCAGAAACUUAUCCAAAUCCAGUGUAUUUGGCACAGAAAUACUCUGUCCAAUUCAUGUUUUGAAACUUUGGCCAUGUUUAGCAUGAGAAUGCAACUCUUUAACAGUGUAAAUAAGUCAAAAAUCAAAAAUCUUUUAGUCUGUGUGAACAAACCUUCACGAAACAUUUGUAGCUCACCUGCCAUCCAAUAAUUGCAAAAAAGCUUUGUGCUUUGUAAUUUUAAAAUUCUGUCAAUUUUAUUAUGAAAUUCAAACAAUGUGGUUUUGGUGCUCUUUAAUACGCCGUGAGAGAUCACUGUACUGCCUCAGUUCAAGCGGCAGCACGGAUCAAGCGCAUGUGAACCAAUCAUCUUAUCUCUUCUUUACUACUAGUUACAGCACAAAAUAAACAUGAAUGAACAUCAGAAGGUAUUUUGAAAGAUACAUUACAACUUACUGAAACGAAUCCUGUCUCAUGUAAUUGCUCAAUCAGUGUUUCGACCGCGGAAUGAUGUCAAUAAAACAACAUGUCCUCCAACCUACAGUAUACGCCCAUAUAGGUCGUUUGUCACUUCCCUGAAAUAUGACCCAUAGGAGCAUUUGCUAAUGUUGCGCCCCUAUCGACAACAGGACACUUUAAUUUUAAUGCAUUGUACCCUUUUAUCUGCAUCAAUUUCGGGUUUCGCUUAGCUCAAAUGGUAGAGCAUUGCAAUAGGCAACAAAAUGCAAUCAUGUGAUCAUGCGAUCGUGGGUUCGAUCCCAGGGAACGCAUGUGCUCGUAAAGUGUAUAUGCACUAUUAAUGACUAAGGGUAGGUUUAGGGUUGGGGUAGGUGUGGUCGUUAAUAAAAAAAUGAGUUUUGCUAAAUGGAAAUAGGACAAAUGGUGUAAAAAGUCCACACAUUGCAUUUAAAUGAACUCGCAUUUUGAUCGGUAACGACGGUCAUAUGUCAUUUCAUGACGACAGACGUAACACGACACUGUCAUUAUUUUUACGCCGGCUAGAGGGCGCAUAAAACGUAAAUAUAGGUUGUAAUAAGGUUAUUGAAAACACUACCUAUAGGGUCUUUUUUUGGAGGAUAGUCUGAUAAAACCACAGUGUAACUUAAAGUUAAAUUUACCUUAAGAAAGCUAUUCAAUGUCCAUAAACUCUAGAGAAGAGCUUUUUGCUAAAUAUAUGCAUUAUUACAUAUUCAUUAUAUUUUUACUUAACCUGUUAUUAUUUUAUGUAUUUCUGAAUAAAUCUGUCAUGAAAACAAGUUAUUACAGUUUAUUGUCAUUUAAAUAUUUAUAUUUCACCAACAAACAGAAGUAGAAACAAUUUUGUUUUUACAAAGUUGAUAUAAAUACUGCCUCGUGUGCAAUUUAAAUGUUUGGACAAAUUUCAGUGUUGAUUAUUAAAAAAGUUUGAUUAAUUAAUUGAUUUCCCAUUUAUUUUUUAUUUUCGGUUUCUGUUUUCAGCUAAGUGCAUCCUUAAUUUUUAGUUUUGGCCCAGAAUUUACAUUUCUUUCCAUUCCUAGAUGUCAAUUUUUGAUUUUCAGAAAAACAUAAUCAGAGAAUGUCAAUUAUUAUUUUUUUUUUAUUAAAGAUUACGAGGGCACAUAUAGGCCUAUAUUUAAUAAAUUAUAGUAAUUAUGUAAUAAUAAAUCAUAAUGAUAAAUAAUUUAUAAUAAAUAUUGCAAUAUCCCAUAAAAAAAUAAUUGUCCAUUUGAUGGUGACUUUAAGUGGACUUAAUGACUGGAGAAGUCCAGCAUAAGUCACCAGAGAGAAGUUUGACGUUUCACCAUCGAGUAACAUUUUGACUAGAAAUUAAAACAAUUUUUGUAUUUCCAAUAAUAUAAUGCAUUUAGAAAUUGCAUACAUUAUAUGCCUAUUUCAUUAUAAUAAAAUGCAUUAAAAAAGAUUAAUUUCCAUUUCAAGGAACCAGAUAAUUGAGUCGAUCUCACAAAUCGAAUCAAAUCGAUGGUUGAACGAGCAAUUCGGAUAUUUUAAAAUGCAUCGGUCAAGUGAAAUGGAUCAACCGAUUCCUCACAAAGAUCCUAUUCAAGUGAAUCAUUCGUUCACUAAUCACAAAUCGCUCCUUAUGUCAUUGAAUGUUCUAUGGAGAGCUGCUGUAUAGCCUAGCGAAAAUCACGAGUUCCAGUCCUCACACAGUCGGUGUCAUAUGACUUCAGAAGUCCUGUAAUGUAUCAUACAAGACAUAUGGACUUGCUUUAUGUUAUCUUUUUUCUUUACAUUCACCCCUAUUCUUUGUCUUUCACUGGAAAAGACGACCAUGACGUUCCUACUUUUCUCUCCUGGGUAAGAAAAGACAAGAGGGGACUGUCUGAAAACUGGCAGAGACACUGAGGAUGAGAGAUUGUGCAUUAGAAAUGGAUUGCAGUUCAUAUCUGUUCCAGUUCUGUAUCUGCAGUGGAAUUACAGACCUCCAGGUGGGAAACACAGAUGAAAGAGCUGGAGAAUAUGGAAUGUUCGAUGGGAUUUCAGCAUUUGGGGGGCCUCAAACAGUACCUGAGAGCUGAUCUGAAAACAGCAGGGGGCCUUUGCUUGGAGAGCAAGAAAGAGAAAACAACAAAGAGAAAGAGGAAGAACGAGCGAAGAGGUGGCAGAGAUAUCAUGCCUCUCAGUGAUGUUACAUUGCCAAAUCUGGCUCCUCAACAAACACAAAGAUUCCCCUCAGGGAUGCUGAUUUUCCCCAUUAAUUCCAGAUUAACAGAGUGGACAUGGUGGAUUCUGCCAACUUGAAGCCGAUGUAUAAUUUGGAUACGGGACACGAGGUGCCGUAGCUUCAUUUAGAGGGAGAUACAGAUGGAAUGUUAAGGGGUGAGAGGUCCUUCGGAUACAGAUGGCUGAUCUAGAGGUCCAAAUAGGAAGCUAAACAAGCCUUCACAUCCCAUGGCACUUUCCCAUUGCCCUUGUGUGAUCCCGCCAGCGUGAGGCUGAAUGUGGAGGUCUAAGGUGUUGAGUAGAACAUGGUCAUAAAGAGAGUCCCUCUGGCUCAAGCUUUUCCCCAUGAUGUCACUACUGACCCAUGAAGACCCCUCCUUUCUGACCUAGACAAAAGUGGGAGUGAGGGACAAAUGAGAUCACAGCACUCUGAAUUAAUUCAGAGAGUGCUCACUUUGUGUAGGGUUUGCUGGGCCACAAGCAAAAGAGUGCUGCAGUGAUGACACAUUUUUAUAGGCCAGCCUGGAAGUUAGCAUCACCCUGGUUCCCUCGACAAAAACCCAGUAGGAUUUUUCUAUUGGCUUUGAUUUUUCUUUUAGCAAAAUUUUAAGAUUCUUACAGGUUUUUUCAUCAUGUUAAUCUUCACAAAUGAACAAAGCUUUUAUGAAAUUUGAACCCUAAAUACAAUCAUCAUAAGUAAAAAGCUAAAUUGUCUUAUAAAUGAACUACACCGUGGUCACAUGACUUCAGUGUCACCAUCAACUCUUUCAGUCUUUAUUUAAAAAAACAUUCUCCCUGAAAGUUUGAGUUUGAAUAAUUUGCAAGAGCGGGAUUAUAAACACAUUGAGGUUGUGAAAGUGGAUUAGUGAGUAGAUGAGUUUACCUGUUCGGCUUGAUGAUGUUUAAUGUCACCGACAACCUCUGUACUCGCAUUUAGUAGCUGCCUUUUUCAAGACAAGUAAAAAUGUUUAAAAAAAAUUGGUUACACUUUAAUUUAAUGGUCCACCAGUAGACAUUCUACUAAGUAACUUCACAACAUGUCAACUAACUCUCAUUAUAGUACAGUAGACUGUUAGGUGGUUCAGUUAGUAGAAUAAGUUAACAUGUUGUUGCAAAGUUACUUAAAGUCAGUGUUGGGGAAAGUUACUUUUAAAAGAAAUGCGGUACAAUAUUUUGUUACUCCCUAAAAAAGUAACUAAUUGGAUUACUUAGUUACUUUUUAUGGAAAGUAAUGUUACAUUACUUCUGCGUACAAUGCCUCUGAAACUGAUUUCUCUCAACACGAGACAAGAGAGGUGUCAGUCAAUAAAUGAGAAAACAAAGUAACUUGCGUUACCUACUUUAAAAAGUAACUCCUUUUUGCGUGAUGGAAGCACCUGAUGUUUCCAAAAUUAUGAUUUUAUUCAAAAAGAUACAGAAUAUAAAUGUUUAAGAUGUUAAAAUAUGUUCUCAGAAUUGUACACUGAUUAUUUAUGAACAGGUUAUGGAAUCAGUCACAACAUUUUUCGGCUACGAGUGAAAUGCAGCCAUCUCCAGCACGAGAUCCAGCGCCGUUACGGUGGAAGGAAACAGGACAACAGAGACCGACUUGAAUUACUUCUAAAUGUUUAAUUUUUACUUCUAAUAUUUGUUAAACAAGCUUAAAUGUAGGCAAUAUAUAUUAUAAAACGAUAUAAUAUAUGCUAUACUAUAAAAUAUGAUCAAAAAUAAAGGAAUCAUCAUGCAAACCUGUGGUUGUGUGGAGUAUAUUUUUUUUUUAAAUUAGAGGAUUUAAUUUAAUCCAUAAACAUUAAUUGGUAACACU